AUAAAGUCACACACCAAAAUGAAAGCAAAAUAUUAAGUAUGAAUCACCACAUGAUUAGGUGAAGUCGUAGGAGUAUUCUUCGCUACAAAGGUAACUCAGUAUCCUGCUUAAGCAGCUGCGGACGUUAUUCCUUUAUAGUUCCAAAGUAUGGAUCACUAGACCCUUAUAGGUGUAAAAAUCGUUUUGGGCUUACCACCAAUUUGUUAAACUUCUUCGCCAAGUUUGCCGAAAAUGAGACUACAGAGAUGUUGCGAUUUCAAUGUAGCAAUAGCUCGACAAUUGAGAAGGAAUUGGUAAUUUGCGCCCGACAAGAUAGGUAACCUCACCUCAUACAAGCCUAUUGGUCGGUGUUCAAUCAGAACACCUGCCAUGGCAGUGAGAUGAACCUUGCUAAGGGCAAGUAGGACCUCUUUUGGUUGUUGAUCAGCACAUGCCAGGCGGAAGUAAAUAAAUGCAAUGCUAAAGCGCAACAAGACACCAAUGGAACGGCUCGUUAAUAAUAUGAUGAAAUUGGAGUGAAGGUGCUCACCCAGCAAGCUUCUUGGUUUUGUAGUUUCCGCAGUGACCAGCCACCCAAACAAGUUAGAUGACAAGAUAGCUUGAUGCUACUGAUAAGGAGGUCAAACACUCUUUGACUACACUUGAGGGCACUAUCAGUGAAUCUGAAGCUGAUAUUGAUGGAGACCUCCUGACAAAAGGAACCCCCUCUGACAGCAAAUGCCUGGUUAUUAAAAUAUUUCUAUACAGCUUCAUUAGAAAAUUAACCAUAGGAAUAAGAAUCAGUUUAUUAGGGAAAGAGAACGAAGAGGUUCCAGAAAACAUAAAAAACUAGUUAUGGUAUACUCGACCGAUUGCGACCAGAAGAGAGUAAUGACAUGUUGGAAGCUAAGUUUUGUUUUGACAUCCCUUUAAACGUAUGUGUACAAGUAAAAGAAAUAAUUUUCGAGUAAAGAUAUAUUUUUCGCACAAUAACCAAUCACCUUUUUUUAUUUAAAAACACUACUUGCUGCUUUUUUCGACGCUAGCUUGCACCAAUUGUAUGUUGUUCUUAAGGAAACAG